rnacentral:rRNA from 1 species
GACGAACGCUGGCGGCGUGCUUAACACAUGCAAGUCGAACGGAAAGGCCCUGCUUUUGUGGGGUGCUCGAGUGGCGAACGGGUGAGUAACACGUGAGUAACCUGCCCUUGACUUUGGGAUAACUUCAGGAAACUGGGGCUAAUACCGGAUAGGAGCUCCUGCUGCAUGGUGGGGGUUGGAAAGUUUCGGCGGUUGGGGAUGGACUCGCGGCUUAUCAGCUUGUUGGUGGGGUAGUGGCUUACCAAGGCUUUGACGGGUAGCCGGCCUGAGAGGGUGACCGGCCACAUUGGGACUGCGAUACGGCCCAGCCUCCUACGGGAGGCAGCAGUGGGGAGUAUUGCACAAUGGGCGGAAGCCUGAUGCAGCAACGCCGCGUGCGGGAUGACGGCCUUCGGGUUGUAAACCGCUUUCGCCUGUGACGAAGCGUGAGUGACGGUAAUGGGUAAAGAAGCACCGGCUAACUACGUG